rnacentral:ncRNA from 12 species
UUAAUUUGAGGAUAGAAAAGUCAGCUAUCACCCUAGUUUAGGAGAUACAGGAGUGGCGACCUGUCUUAUUAA